rnacentral:rRNA from 1 species
GGCGGCACGCCUUACACAUGCAAGUCGAACGAAGUAGCAGUACUUAGUGGCCGACGGGUGAGUAACAUGUAGGUAUCUGCCCUUUGGCCUGGAAUAACAAGAGGAGACUUGUGCUAAUACCGGAUAAGUCUUUACGGAGAAAGCUUUAUGCACCAUUGGAUGAGCCUGCACUUGAUUAGUUUGUUGGUGGGGUAAUGGCCUACCAAGACAAUGAUCAAUAGCUGAUUUGAGAGGAUGAUCAGCCACAUUGGAACUGAGACACGGUCCAAACUCCUACGGGAGGCAGCAGUAGGGAAUCUUGCACAAUGGAGGAAACUCUGAUGCAGCGAUGCCGCGUGAGUGAAGAAGGCCUUUGGGUUGUAAAGCUCUUUCGUCGGGGAAGAAAAUGACUGUACCCGAAUAAGAAGGUCCGGCUAACUUCGUGCCAGCAGCCGCGGUAAUACGAAGGGACCUAACGUAGUUAGGAAUUACUGGGCUUAAAGAGUUCGUAGGUGGUUAAAAAAGUUGGUGGUGAAAUCCCAGAGCUUAACUCUGGAACUGCCAUCAAAACUUUUUAGCUAGAGUAUGAUAGAGGAAAGCAGAAUUUCUAGUGUAGAGGUGAAAUUCGUAGAUAUUAGAAAGAAUACCGAUUGGAAAGGCACCUUUCUGGAUCAUUACUGACACUUAGGAACGAAAGCAUGCGUCGCGAAGAGGAUUAGAUACCCUCGUAGUCCAUGACUAAACGAUGUGUGUUAGACGUUGGAAAUUUAUUUUCAGUGUCGCAGCUAACGCAAUAACACACCGCCUGGGGAGUACGGCCGCAGGUAAACUCAAUGCAUAGG